UGCCCUUGACAUUGACAGAAUCCCGUAGAGAUAUGGGAGUGCUUCGGCCUGGAAAACAGGUGCUGCAUGGCUGUCGUCAGCUCGUGUCGCGAGAUGUUGGGUUAAGUCCCGCAACGAGCGCAACCCUUAUCCUUAGUUGCCAGCACGUAAUGGUGGGAACUCUAGGGAGACUGCCGGUGACAAACCGGAGGAAGGUGGGGACGACGUCAAGUCAUCAUAGCCCUUAUGGGCUGGGCUACACACGUGCUACAAUGGGCUGUACAGAGGGUCGCGAACCCGCGAGGGGGAGCCAAUCCCACAAAGCAGCUCUUAGUCCGGAUUGCAGUCUGCAACUCGACUGCAUGAAGUUGGAAUCGCUA
rnacentral:rRNA from 1 species